rfam:Elusimicrobia bacterium GWB2_63_22 gwb2_scaffold_104, whole genome shotgun sequence.
AUCCGAUAAUAGCAAAGCCGGCUAAAGCCGGCGGCGCAAAGCUGUGACCCGCUAACUACGCGGGAGUCAGGCUGCCGAA